rnacentral:lncRNA from 1 species
GUGGUCACACUGUGUAGCUUUUCACAACAGUUUGUGUGGACACACUGUGUAGCUUUUCAACAGUUUGUGUAGACACACUGUGUAGCUUUUCACAACAGUUUGUGUGACAAGCUUUGAACAAGACAAGAAAGGAAAGCAAGGUGGUUGUGGAUGCAGGAGCUUUUGAAUAGCAGGGAAAGAAAUUAGAAUUUAAGUCACUGGCAAGAAAUUACGGAGCAGCCGGGUGUGGUGGUGCACACCUUUAAUCCCAGCACUUGGGAGGCAGAGGCAGGCAAAUUUCUGAGUUCGAGGCCAGCCUGGUCUACAGAGUGAGUUCCAAGACAGCCAGGGCUACACAGAGAAACCCUGUCUCGAAAAACCAAAAAAAAAAAAAAGAAAGAAAAAAGAAAUUACGGAGCAAGGCUCUUGGGUCACAUUUCAGUUUCAUUACAUGAAA